rnacentral:rRNA from 1 species
AUUGAACGCUGGCGGCAUGCUUUACACAUGCAAGUCGAACGGUAACAGGUUAAGCUGACGAGUGGCGAACGGGUGAGUAAUGCAUCGGAACGUGCCCAGUCGUGGGGGAUAACGCAGCGAAAGCUGUGCUAAUACCGCAUACGAUCUAUGGAUGAAAGCGGGGGACCGUAAGGCCUCGCGCGAUUGGAGCGGCCGAUGUCAGAUUAGCUAGUUGUGGGUAAAGGCCCACCAAGGCGACGAUCUGUAGCUGGUCUGAGAGGACGACCAGCCACACUGGAACUGAGACACGGUCCAGACUCCUACGGGAGGCAGCAGUGGGGAAUUUUGGACAAUGGGCGCAAGCCUGAUCCAGCAAUGCCGCGUGCAGGAGAAGGCCUUCGGGUUGUAAACUGCUUUGUACGGAACGAAACGGUCUGGGCUAAUACCCGGGCUAACUGACGGUACCGUAAGAAUAAGCACCGGCUAACUACGUG